rnacentral:rRNA from 1 species
CCUACGGGUGGCAGCAGUGAGGAAUAUUGGGCAAUGGACGGAAGUCUGACCCAGCCAUGCCGCGUGCAGGAAGACGGCUCUAUGAGUUGUAAACUGCUUUUGUACAAGGGUAAACCUGAAUACGUGUAUUCAGCUGAAAGUACUGUACGAAUAAGGAUCGGCUAACUCCGUGCCAGCCGCCGCGGUAAUACGGAGGAUCCAAGCGUUAUCCGGAUUUAUUGGGUUUAAAGGGUGCGUAGGCGGAUUGAUAAGUUAGAGGUGAAAUGUCCGAGCUUAACUCGGGAACGGCAUCUAAUACUGUUGAUCUAGAGAGUAGAUGCGGUAGGCGGAAUGUAUGGUGUAGCGGUGAAAUGCUUAGAGAUCAGACAGAACACCGAUUGCGAAGGCAGCUUACCAAUCUAUAUCUGACGUUGAGGCACGAAAGCGUGGGGAGCAAACAGGAUUAGAUACCCGAGUAGUC